rnacentral:rRNA from 1 species
UACGUAGGGUCCGAGCGUUGUCCGGAGUUACUGGGCGUAAAGCGCGCGCAGGCGGCUGAUCAAGUCUGGCGUGAAAGCCCCCGGCUCAACCGGGGAGGGUCGUCGGAGACUGGUUGGCUUGAGGGCGGUAGGGGCUGGUGGAAUUCCCGGUGUAGUGGUGAAAUGCGUAGAGAUCGGGAGGAACACCUGUGGCGAAGGCGGCCAGCUGGGCCGUCCCUGACGCUGAGGCGCGAAGGCGUGGGGAGCGAACGGGAUUAGAAACCCGAGUAGUCC